rnacentral:rRNA from 1 species
GAUGAACGCUGGCGGCGUGCCUAAUACAUGCAAGUCGAGCGAACAGAUGAGGAGCUUGCUCCUCUGACGUUAGCGGCGGACGGGUGAGUAACACGUGGAUAACCUACCUAUAAGACUGGGAUAACUUCGGGAAACCGGGGCUAAUACCGGAUAAUAUAUUGAACCGCAUGGUUCAAUAGUGAAAGACGGUUUUGCUGUCACUUAUAGAUGGAUCCGCGCCGCAUUAGCUAGUUGGUAAGGUAACGGCUUACCAAGGCAACGAUGCGUAGCCGACCUGAGAGGGUGAUCGGCCACACUGGAACUGAGACACGGUCCAGACUCCUACGGGAGGCAGCAGUAGGGAAUCUUCCGCAAUGGGCGAAAGCCUGACGGAGCAACGCCGCGUGAGUGAUGAAGGUCUUCGGAUCGUAGAACUCUGUUAUUAGGGAAGAACAAAUGUGUAAGUAACUAUGCACGUCUUGACGGUACCUAAUCAGAAAGCCACGGCUAACUACGUG